rnacentral:lncRNA from 1 species
CUCUAAAUCUAUGUGUUCUAAUAUAGAACUCUGGACGCGUCCAUACGUUCUGCCACAGAAUACGAAUGUUCUUAUUCGGGGAGCAAGUGUUCUAUUUCUGAACGCCUGUGAUCUUUUGUAGAACGCGUGUGUUCUCUCCUGGGAGAAGUCCAUGCACAUUAGCAGAGAUAAUGUACUGACUAUUGUUAGACAAAUUUAAAUUCGACCAUAUAUUUGUGUUUUCGGAAUAUUUAUUUUUGAGAAGAAGAGAGGCUGGUAGAUUGGUUCUAUAUGAAUCGCCUGAAAGUACGAAGCGGGCAACAAAUCUCAUGCAACAAAUCUCUGAAGAUCUAAAUUUGGGAUCCGAGGGCAUGAUCAGCAUGCAUCGACAAUGCAUCGAAUCAGCAGAGAGUAGGGUUGCAUUGCAGAUAAUCAGUACCAUCCUUGGAAAUUAUUGCACACAGCACACGUCUACGCAAAGGAGGAAAAGAAACAAGGUUUUUCAGAUCAAAUAAGAAGGAUGUUGCGGAGUCGUAUUUGACAUGAAGUUUCCUGAAGCAUGCGAUGGUCAUGUCGCUGUUACGAACAACGUCCUUGGGGAUAUUUACCCACAAGAAACAUCUGCGAAGUACUUGCGCUUCGUGAAAGACUUGACACUUAAGUUAUCUUAAGUAUGGAAGUAUGCUUCACUUUGCUACAUGACAGUUUGUAAUGUUUCAUGAAGAACUCUGACUAACAUAUUUAAGUGACUUGAAUAUCCAUGAUCAUGACAAAUAAAUGUAAUAAAGAAUUCAUGGUUGCAGUUCA